rnacentral:rRNA from 1 species
GGGACGAAUGGACUGCUCCUGAUGUAGCGGCGGACGGGUGAGUAACACGUGGGUAACCUGCCUGUAAGACUGGGAUAACUCCGGGAAACCGGGGCUAAUACCGGAUGGUUGUCUGAACCGCAUGGUUCAGACAUAAAAGGUGGCUUCGGCUACCACUUACAGAUGGACCCGCGGCGCAUUAGCUAGUUGGUGAGGUAACGGCUCACCAAGGCGACGAUGCGUAGCCGACCUGAGAGGGUGAUCGGCCACACUGUGGACUGAGACACGGCCCACACUCCUACGGGAGGCAGCAGUAGGGAAUCUUCCGCAAUGGACGAAAGUCUGACGGAGCAACGCCGCGUGAGUGAUGAAGGUUUUCGGAUCGUAAAGCUCUGUUGUUAGGGAAGAACAAGUGCCGUUCAAAUAGGGCGGCACCUUGACGGUACCUAACCAGAAAGCCACGUGCUAACUACGUGCCAGCAGCCGCGGUAAUACGUAGGUGGCAAGCGUUGUCCGGAAUUAUUGGGCGUAAAGGGCUCGCAGGCGGUUUCUUAAGUCUGAUGUGAAAGCCCCCGGCUCAACCGGGGAGGGUCAUUGGAAACUGAGGAACUUGAGUGCUGAAGAGGAGAGUGGAAUUCCACGUGUAGCGAUGAAAUGCGUAGAGAUGUGGAGGAACACCAGUGGCAAACGCGACUCUCUGGCCUGUAACUGACGCUGAAGAGCGAAUGCGUGGGGAGCGAACAGGAUUAGAUACCCUGGUAGUCCACGCCGUAUACGAUGAGUGCUAAGUGUUAGGGGGUUUCCGCCCCUUAGUGCUGCAGCUAACGCAUUAAGCACUCCGCCUGGCGAGUACGGUCGCAAGACUGAAACUCAGAGGAAUUGACGGGGGCCCGCACAAGCGGUGGAGCAUCUUUUUAAUUAGAAGCAACGCGAAGAGCCUUAUACAGGUCUAUGACAUCCUGUGAACAAUCCUAGAGAUAGGACGUCCCCUUCGGGGGCAGAGUGACAGGUGGUGCAUGUGUUGUCGUCAGCUCCGUGUCGUGAGAUGCUGGGUUAAGUCCCGCAACGUGCGCCACCCCUGAUGUUAGUUGCCAUCAGUCAGCUGGGCUCUCUCAGGUGGCGUCCGUUGACAAACCGGUGGAACGUGGGGAAAGAUUCAAAUCAUCAUCCCCCUUAAUGGACGUGGGGUACACUCUCAGUACACUGGACAGAACAAAGGCCAGUGAAAUCGCGAGGUUAAGCUCAAUCCCAGCAGAAUCUGUUACUCUACGUUCAGGAUACGCAGAUCUCGCAAGCUGCGGUCUCGACGCGAAAGACGGGAAUCCGCGUAAGUACUCCGUCGGAAUCAUGCAGAGCCCACGGCGAUAUUCACGUUACCCGUGCCGUGUGAUACAGCACCCGGUUGUCACGGACUUGUGACCUUUGUUACAGCCGAAGUCGGCGAGGUUACCUUCAGGAUCCGCCCAAUCGGACAUCUGGAUCUCCC